CAGCAGUGAGGAAUAUUGGUCAAUGGACGAGAGUCUGAACCAGCCAAGUAGCGUGAAGGAUGACUGCCCUAUGGGUUGUAAACUUCUUUUAUAAGGGAAUAAAGUGCACCACGCGUGGUGUUUUGUAUGUACCUUAUGAAUAAGGAUCGGCUAACUCCGUGCCAGCAGCCGCGGUAAUACGGAGGAUCCGAGCGUUAUCCGGAUUUAUUGGGUUUAAAGGGAGCGUAGGCGGCAGGUUAAGUCAGUUGUGAAAGUUUGCGGCUCAACCGUAAAAUUGCAGUUGAUACUGGCCUGCUUGAGUGCGGCAGAGGCAGGCGGAAUUUGUGGUGUAGCGGUGAAAUGCUUAGAUAUCACGAAGAACUCCGAUUGCGAAGGCAGCUUGCUGGAGCGUAACUGACGCUGAUGCUCGAAAGUGCGGGUAUCAAACAGGAUUAGA
rnacentral:rRNA from 1 species